rnacentral:rRNA from 1 species
CACGUAGGGCGCAAGCGUUGUCCGGAAUUAUUGGGCGUAAAGGGCUCGUAGGCGGUCUGUUGCGUCGGGAGUGAAAACUUACAGCUUAACUGUGAGCGUGCUUCCGAUACGGGCAGACUUGAGGUAUUCAGGGGAGAACGGAAUUCCUGGUGUAGCGGUGAAAUGCGCAGAUAUCAGGAGGAACACCGGUGGCGAAGGCGGUUCUCUGGGAAUAUCCUGACGCUGAGGAGCGAAAGCAUGGGGGAGCGAACAGG